UUGAACAAGUAACCCUGCAAGAUACAUCUUUUCCUUCAGAAAUUGUGCCAGAAAAUAUUGAAGUGCUAUGGGAAUGAUCAACAUUGAACUUGCAGAGCCAUCCUUCUGAAAGUGACUUGACCAGAUAUUUGGCUACCCAGUAUGAGUAUCUUUCUGCUAAAUUGAAUAAAAUGUCGUGGAGGAACACGAAGAAAAGGGCUGCGCAUCUCAACAUAUUCAAGGUCAAGCAGCUUUUUACCUUAUCCAUAGUAUCUUGCUGCUAAAUGAAAGAAUUAGGAUGGAGGAACAGAGAAAAGGGCACCUCAACAUGCUCAAUGUCAAGCAGAAAUUAGGAGCUAGAUGUGCUUCUCCAGAGCUGAAAACUUCUUGGCAAGAAGAGGAGAAAAAGCAGGAAGAAGCAGAUUUAAA